GCGUUAUUUGGAAAUUUCCUCAGACGCUCGAGCCUCCAACGCGAACCACGAGCAACGCCGACGAACCACGAACCACGAACCAAGAACGAAGUCAACACACGAACGGGUUUCUAUUUGGUCUCUACAAAGAGUAUGCUGCUCCUUAUUAAACCAAAGAUCACAAAUGGCACAAGAAAUGUCACCACAAAAGAAUGAGGCUCAAAACCAACGAAAGCCAAUAAUCAAAAUAAUGGCUCAAAAGAGAAAAUCAAAGGCAAACUAUAAUAGGAAAGCAAAGCACCCGGCUACAUCCAGUUUUGGUGCAACGUCUAUGCUUUCAAUAGCAUCAUUACAGACAUUAAAGACAAGCUAACUGCUCAAGAAAACGCCUUUCUGGAACUUGAUUGAGCUGUUUUACAACAAAAGAGUUGACAUGAAUAAGUCGGACCUCGACUUAGUAAAGUUGGUCAAGAAGUUUGAUCCAGAUACAAAGUCCUUCAAUUUUGGCACCAAAUCACAGCCAAUGCAGUGACUGAGAUUCUAGGACUUCCAAACGAAGGAAGCUCUGUCGAACUUGGCAAUGAUGGAUACACUGCUACCUUCAGAACAAGACACUUUGGAGGAAAGUCAAAACCAUCAAAAGGCAUGGUAGAAGAAGAAUUACAAAAGACAAUUGUCUUAGCAAACCAACCGAAGAAAGAAAAGGCCAAGGUAAAGCAAAAUAAGAAAAUGAACAGAGGAAAAGCAAAAUAAGAAGCUGAAGAAGAAGAAGAAGAAUGGGAAGACAAACAGGAAAAUGAGGUUGUUGACUACGACAAGGAUGUGGUCAGCCUAAUCUUGAUUCUGCUCUGCAUGACAUUCCUCUUUGCCAACUCAUCAUCCACUUUGCACUGGAAAAUUGUUGAGCACUGUGUGAAUCUAGACACACUUUCAAGCUAUUUGUGGGCAAGAGUUGUUUCAACCUACAUAAAUGACUCAUUGAUAAAAAAGGUAAAAGCAAAGAAGAGAGGAGAAGCCUCUAUAAGAGUUUUUCGGGUUGCACUAUCCUAAUAUUAUUUCUACUGUGUGAGAGGACAAACAUCAUACAACCAAUCCUUCGCAAGGAGAAAGAAAUUCCUACAAUUCUUAAAUGGAGUCUUGUGGAACUCCACACAAGAUUCAACCAAAUAGAGGACUUAAAUGACAUAGAGAGUAUUUUCAAAACCCCUAAAAAGCGAAAAACUAUUAGAGAAGAGAAAUAUCCUGUUGACAAGGUAAUUUGAAUUUGUAUACAGUGGCUUAUGCAUUGCAGUUUCUGUUUUCUGCAAUGCAAUUUGCAUUUUAUCCAGUGCAGUUUCUAAAUCAUUCUCAUUGUACACUUGAUGUUCCUUCAAGAAUACAAAGGCUAAAGAACAGAGAAAGAAAGAGGCGUCAAGCAUCUUGCUAUGAGUACAAAAAAGAUAAGCAACCAAAAAAGGAGUGCUUGAAAGUGUGUCUAGAUUCACAGUGCUCAACAAUUUUCCAAUGCAAAGUGGAUGAAGAGUUGGCAAAGAGGAAUGUCAUGUAGAGUAGAAUCAAGAUUAGGUUGACCACAUCCUUAUCGUAGUCAACAACCUCAUUUUCCUGUUUAUCUUCCCCUUCUUCUUCUUCAGCUUCUUUUUUUGCUUUUCCUCUGUUCGUUUUCUUCUUUUGCUUUACCUUGGCCUUUUCUUUCUUCGGUUGGUUUGCCAAGGCAAUUGUCUUUUGUAAUUCUUCUUCUACCAUGUCUUUUGAUGGUUUUGACUUUCCUCCGAAGUGCCUUGUUCUGAAGGUAGCAGUGUAUCUAUCAUUGCCAAGUUUGACAGAGUUUCCUUCAUUUGGAAGUCUUAGAAUCUCAGUCACUGCAUUGGCUGUGAUUUUGAAUGAUUUGGUGCCGAAAUUGAAGGACUUUGUAUCUGGAUUAAACUUCUUGAGCAGCUUUACUAAGUCGAGGUUCGACUUAUUCAUGUUAUUCAUGUCAAUUCUUUUGUUGUAAAACAACUCAAUCAAGUUCCAGAAAGGCGUUUUCUUGAGCAGUUUCUUCUGCAUUUCAUUGAGUUUGUCUUUAACGUCUAUAAUGAUGUUAUUGAAAGCAUUGAUAUUGCACCAAAACUGGAUAUAGUCCGGGUGCUUUGCUUUCCUAUUAUAGUUUGCCUUUGAUUUU